AACGAACGCUGGCGGCGCGCCUAACACAUGCAAGUCGAACGAGAAUCCGGGGCAACCCGGUAGUAAAGUGGCAAACGGGUGAGGAAUACAUGGGUAACCUACCCUUGAGAAGGGAAUAACCCGCCGAAAGGUGAGCUAAUACCCUAUACGCUAUCUUUUUUUCGAAAAGGAUAGGAAAGCCGGGUCGAGGACCUGGUACUCAAGGAGGGGCUCAUGUCCUAUCAGCUUGUUGGUGGGGUAACGGCCUACCAAGGCUACGACGGGUAGCUGGUCUGAGAGGAUGAUCAGCCACACUGGCACUGAGAUACGGGCCAGACUCCUACGGGAGGCAGCAGUGAGGAAUAUUGCGCAAUGGGCGAAAGCCUGACGCAGCGACGCCGCGUGGGGGAUGAAGGUUUUCGGAUUGUAAACCCCUUUCAUGAGGAAAGAUAAAGUGGGUACCCACUUAGACGGUACCUCAAGAAGAAGCCACGACUAACUUCGUG
rnacentral:rRNA from 1 species